rnacentral:misc_RNA from 1 species
GUAGGUGAACCUGCGGAAGGAUCAUUACCGAGUUCAUGCCCUUCGGGGUAGAUCUCCCACCCUUUGUAUACUAUACCUUCGUUGCUUUGGCGGGCCGCCUAGCUACUGGCUUCGGCUGGUAAGUGCCCGCCAGAGGAUACAAAACCCUGAAUUAUUAGUGUCGUCUGAGUAAAAUAUUUAAUAUUUAAAACUUUCAACAACGGAUCUCUUGGCUCUG